CUCCACAAAUAAUGACAAGCUGAUUCGGUUUUAAUUGAGAAAAUUAGGCUAGCCACUUUGAUAAGUAUCUUCAAGUCAAGCCGGCCGCUUCCCUUUAGCGUCCACAUUUGCAACAAUUUUCUCCUUCUUGAUGCUCACGUUAACCAAAAUCUGAAGCUCCUCUUCGUCACUUAUCGUUACCCGAGAUUUGAACAUGCGGGACAUUUCUUCAGCAGUGUCAUUCAUCACGGGGUUAGGAAAUGUUGCGCUAUCACGACUACAUUGACCGCUUGAGUUUUCUUUCACGACCCACUCCCAAAAUCCACAAUUCCGGCUGCAGCAAAGGAAUAGUUUCCCCUUAUUGUGAUUUUCCUUCUCCACCACAAAACAUUUUUCAAAUCCAUACUUACAUCGAGGGCAAGGGCGUUUCUUUCUGCAUUCGGCAAACAUAUGAUCCUUAGCUCUACAACUAUGACAGAUUCCGGAGUUCCUUCCGGGCAUUCUACGAUGGGAAUAAAAAAUCAUACCAAAUUCAGAAUACUCGGACCAUAGCAUGUAUCAACAGCCAACAUAAAACCAG
rnacentral:lncRNA from 1 species